AGGUGGUACAGUCUUUGACGGCAAAGCGUAAAAAUGAUUUUCAGUCUGAUGAAGAAUUUCGAUGAUUUGAAAAAUUUGGACUUUGGAAAAUCUCAAACUCCUUACCGAAAACCUGAAAUAUCCGGACAAAAACAAGGCGAAGUUUGAAUAUGAAAACAAGCCAUUUCCAACCACUAAAGAAGAAUCAGAACUUGCUCAAACUCAACUCUCUAAUGAGAUGGAAACAUCUCUUGAGCUUGUCCCGGAAUUUGACGAUUACAUAGAAAAAGCUGAGAGCCACAAUUCCUCACUGAGUGUCAAAUCUACUUUAGUGAAGGUGGUCAGGGCUUUGUUGGAUUGGCUGAUUUGGCUGGUUAAAUUAGCUUUUCAGCUUAUUGAUUGGCUCAUUAAUCAUGGAUUGCCUAUAGCUAAGCGGCUUCUUUCGUUUUUAAAAUAUGCACGGGGCUGUGUUAUACGGUAUCAUAAGCUCUGCCGAGAGUAAGCGGAAAUUUGAAUUCCCAGGCUGAAGAAUGACAUGAUCUGAAACAUAAAAGCAUAUCUUUAUAACUUAUAAAUUGCUAAUCUAUCAAAUCAAUAAGAAGGCAAGAUUGAAUGUGCUAAAUAAUGGUAUUUUGCUUAUAAAUAAAAAUAUAUGUCAUUUC